GGCAAAUUGAGUUUUAUUUCAAUAAAUAAUUGACUAGGAUCCUAGUUAAUGGCUGGAAUUUUGGUUAGCACUAUGCAAAUUUCAAACACUUAAGAAACUAUCAUGACAUUAAUUUCAAUCCAUUUUAGUACAAGUCUGAAUUUAAUUCAGAAAAUAUAGAAACAACAUUACACCACUCCAGAUAAUUAUUGAAUUUAUUAUUUUUUAAAUUAUUUUGAACACAAGGAACCUACAGGCACACACACAUGGUCAAGACACUAAGCAGAAGCAGCAGCAGCAGCUUCUUCCUGCAACUGUUUCACCUUAGUGAUAUAGUCACUCAUUGCUUGUUCCUUUGAUUUGCCUGCCAGAAACAAAAAUUCGUCAGUGUGAAACUACUGUGCGAAUUGGCAAUGGUCAAUCAACCAGUAAACUAAAACAAAAUGUAUGCUGUCACAUAUUCUGAAUCAAUACCUUCAACAGCCUUCCAUGCAUCCCACUUUGCUCUGUCCCUCAUGUUAAACAUUCCAGGACGGCCUGCAAAUUACAUGCAAAAUGCAAUUUUAAAAUUGAACUUUGGAGGAAAUUCCAAAUGGGAACUAAUGAAAGCAAAAUACUCACUGGUGUUCACUGGUCCAACAGUGGCUUGCUUAUAAAGCCCAUAUAAAAUAAGUUUGCUCUCAUUUGUUGUAUUUUCUGGAAGGGUCUUAGCUUUCUCAGCAUACUCCUCAAAUUCCUCCUGCAGAACACCAAUUCAGUUAUUGAGACAGCAAUACAUGAUGAUUAAUUAAAGGCACUUUGUUAGACCCAACUUACUUCUACAUAUAAAUAUACACUAAUUUUCCCGGUUUCAUUGUUUUGAGAUGGUUAAGAAUAAAAGUUCUAAUUGAGAGGAACCAAUAUAUUACAGGCGGAUGAAAACAACUUUACUUCCAAAUGGAUAACACCAAGUUCCCAAAUAAGUAACCCUAUCUAUUGUCAAUAUAAGCUACUCCUCAGAACAAACAUGGAGAGACAGACUAGUCUCUAAUUGGAUCAUGAUAUCUAUUGCUUAAACCCAUGGGCAGAUAAUAAAUAUAAGAAUGAUUGGAAAUAGAUAACACGCUCUAUAUUGCAACAGAUUCCAGAAUCAACCCAUGUUAUUGUGUCAUUCAACACAAAAAAUGCAUGUGGAACUAUUCACUCCUAAAACAUGUAAUACCUACAUCUAGGUCAAGAAAUGAAAAAGUGGCAAGCAGUAAUUAGAAAUAGGGGAUGGGCCUUGUUUGGUUGGAGUUAAGUGAGCCAGGGAGCUUGUGCAAAAAAUUGACUUGUUUGGUUGAGAGUAAGUGUCCGUUUCCUAAAAAACCAUUUUUUCUCUUGGGAAAUAAGUAACUUACCCUAAGCUAAGCAACUUAACUUACUUCUGGGAAGUAGAGUUCCCAGGGAACCAGACAAUCAAAAAUAUGAACAAGAAACAGCAUGCAAUAUUAAUUUUCUGAAACCCAUAACUUAUCAACAAGAAUCAGCAUGAAAAAAGUUUGAAAAGCCAAAUGCCUCAUACUAGCUAAAAUUCCUCUUCUGUGUUUCUGUGUCUCAAGCAGUAUUUCAAGCCUACACCGUUAAGGAACCCAUCGAAUAACAGAAUAAAGAUGGACAAUUCAACAACACUAAAGGAAAGGGAACAAAAAAUAAUAAAGAAUACAUAUUAAUUAGAUCCAGAUGGAGAAAAACCAUAGAUCUAGCACAGAUACUGGGAAAAUUGAGAACAAAAACAGAUCCUGAGAAAAUUAAACAAACCAAACCCAAAUUUUCUUCAACAUCACUGAUCAUUAAACCACACACAUAGACAGACCCAUCAAGGAUAAAUAUGAGAGAAACAGAUUAGAACUGAUUCUAAUGCACAAUCCAAUGAAUCAUAAAACAGAUCUAACCAAUUAACAAUAAAAAAAUCAAAGAUCAAAUAGAAAGAUAGAUCACACAUUACAGAUUUAGCUUAGCAGAUAGGGAAAGAUCAAAGGUAGCUUUACCUUCAAACCCAUUUUGCUCGGUGAUUUGAUGAAGGAAUGAAUGCAGAGACGUGAAGCUAGCGGUAGUUAAUUACAAUGCAGAGUGAGGAAGGAAGUCUAGUAUGUAAACACUCAGAUAUUCGUAGGUUUAUUCCUUUGUACAAUUGUACGUGGCUUGAAUUGAUUGGUUAGUCACUUAGAAGUUAGUGGUCGAGAAAAAUGCUGAACGAGUGAUAGGGUAGAACGUAGUGUAUCUGAAAUUGCAUUUUUCGGAGAAUCACA
rnacentral:misc_RNA from 1 species